rnacentral:rRNA from 1 species
UACGUAGGGGGCAAGCGUUGUCCGGAAUCAUUGGGCGUAAAGGGCUCGUAGGCGGUUUGUCGCGUCGGGAGUGAAAUCCACUGGCUUAACUGGUGGCUUGCUUUCGAUACGGGCAGACUGGAGGUAUGCAGGGGAGAACGGAAUUCCUGGUGUAGCGGUGAAAUGCGCAGAUAUCAGGAGGAACACCGGUGGCGAAGGCGGUUCUCUGGGCAUGUCCUGACGCUGAGGAGCGAAAGCGUGGGGAGCGAACAGG